rnacentral:rRNA from 1 species
UACCAGCACCCCGAGUGGUCGGGACGAUUAUUGGGCCUAAAGCAUCCGUAGCCGGUCCUGCAAGUCUUCCGUUAAAUCCAGCUGCUCAACAGAUGGGCUGCGUAGGAUACUACAGGGCUAGGAGGCGGGAGAGGCAAGCGGUACUUUAUGGGUAGGGGUAAAAUCCGUUGAUCCAUAGAAGACCACCAGUGGCGAAGGCGGCUUGCCAGAACGCGCUCGACGGUGAGGGAUGAAAGCUGGGGGAGCAAACCGG